GUUGCGGAGGCGUGCGCGCGUGCCGCGUGGGGGGAACGGGGGGGGGUGUCUCCCGCGCCAAAACGGCCAUGAGGAAAAGCUGGACAGUCGCUGCCCUGCUCGAGGGAGUUGGGGGUGGGGUACGAAGAUGCCCCCUGAGAAUCACCUCAGCCAUUCGGGUGCCGCGGUUCGUUGCCUUUUUAAGCGCAAAAGUAGCGCAGACCCCGAAAGUCCCCUGAGCGAGGCUCCGGCUCUGGGUCGAGCUUGCCCCGCCGGAGCUCAGCAUGCAUGCGGACGAAAGAGCUACAAGCCUGGUGGAUCAGCGGAAUACUGCAGACCUGGUGGAUCUUGAUUUCAGUAAGGCUUUUGACAAAGUCCCACAUGUGAGGAAACUGGUAAGAUGUGGGCUGGAUGAGGUAACUGAAAGUUGGAUUUGUAGCUGGUUGACUGACCGAACCCAAAGAGUGCUUGUUAAUGAUUCCUCAUCAUUCUGGAAAGCAGUGACAAGUGAGGUGUCCUGGGCCCAUUGUUCAACAUCCUUACAAAUGAGUUGGAUUUAGUUAUUGAAGGGAUGCUCAUCAAAUUUGCAGAUGACACCAAACUGGGAGAGGUAGCCAACGCGACAGAAGACAGAAUUGAGAUUCAAAAUGAUCUUAUCAGAUUGGAGAACUGGGCCCAAAGUGAAACUAACAGAAUGAAAUUCAUUAAGGAUAAAUGUAAGGUUCUACACUUAGGCAAGAAGAACCAGCUGCGCCAAUAUAAUACUAGGGGCACCCGCCUUGCCAGUAGUACAUGUGAAAAGAAUCUAGGGAUCUACUGACUACAAGCUUAACAUGAGUCAACAGUGUGAUGCAGCAGCAAAUAAGUUAAUACUGUUUCAGCCUGCAGCAACAAGUAUACUGUCCCGAUCAAUGGAAGUAAUAGUACCACUCUAUUCUGCCUUGGUUAGACCACACCUGGGGAUUGGAUAGGAAGUACUGGAGCUUCCCUGAUGGAACAAAGCUUAGAUUGAACUACCAAGUUUUCUCCAGUUCCAUUGUAGGGACACAACACUCAUUGCUAAAGAAAAGCCAAUCUAAACAUGGUCUUGGGGCAUGUGUAGAGUUCCAGUUGAACUGAGCUUCUGAGCAUCAUCUUUCCAAGCCCUACCUGGAGAUGGCAGGGCUUUUAACCUGGGGCUUUCUGCAUGUAAAACAUGCUAGUAUUGGAACAGAGGCUAUUAUUAAAUAAACCACUUGCUCUACAAACCAUUGGCCCACGGCUAGAAUGAAAUCUUUUAAUUGUGUGAUGAUUAAUUGUACGGAUAUGCCAAAUAAUGUAGAAUGUCACCAGCAUAUACUGCAUCCUUUAUUCUCAAAUGAGAAGUGUCCUUCAUGCUUUGCAGUUGGCUAAAUGCCAGCUGCAGCAGAGAGGCUCCCUGAAAAACAGUGUUAUAAUAUAUAUAAAGGGCACCCUUGUCUUUGCUAGCAGACAAACCCUUAGUUAAUUAAUGGCUCUGCUUGUAUGGAUACAUGGUUUCUGAGCUUCCUUUGGUUCUAACAAAGUCUUUGUUUACGAAAUGUGCUUAUUAAAACGAGUUAAUAUGUUAUUCUACUGACUGCAGCAACAUAACGUUAAUUUUAUCUUUGUAGAACUAUUUCUGCAUAACUGCCCCCCAACAAAAAAAAAACCCAGGAUCAGGGCCAUGCUACAAGGCAAUAGGUUUUUAACCCAGGUGUGGGAUAUGUGACCCUACAAAUGCUACUCAACUCCAACUUCCAUCAGCUUCAUCAAGCAUGGCCAAAGCAUGUAACCCACCAGAACAGACUCAAAGUUCAGACAGCAUGUUUGAAACUAUAUUGUGAAUUUUGCACCCAAGAGUAAUCUACCUGGCUUCUCCUUGCUGCUGUGUGGGGCAACACAUGAACCACACCUUUGAAUUUACUUACAGGUCUGUUUUUGCUUUGUACGAAAACAAUGGCUUGGAUCGCAAGAUGGAUCGCAAGAUGAAUUAACUUAGGCCACAACCCUAGCACCACCUACCUGGAAGCAAUAAAAGACUCCUGCACUGCAGGGGGUUGGACUAGAUGACCCUGCAGGACCCCUUCCACUCUGCAGUUCUGUGAUUCCAUAUGGUGCCCACGAGGAAAAGGCUUUGGGUAUCUGAACGGGUAUCCAUUGUCGUCAAAGAACCUUCGGAAAGUGAACUCAUAGAAGGCAUGUUCCGUGUGUUUGCCGCUGGAGGAAGUCUGCGG